CGGAGGAAAAGAAACCAACAGGGAUUGCCUUAGUAACGGCGAGUGAAGCGGCAAAAGCUCAAAUUUGAAAUCUAGCACUUUCAGUGUUCGAGUUGUAAUUUGAAGAAGGUAACUUUGGAAUUGGCUCUUGUCUAUGUUCCUUGGAACAGGACGUCACAGAGGGUGAGAAUCCCGUGCGAUGAGAUGUCCAAUUCUAUGUAAAGUGCUUUCGAAGAGUCGAGUUGUUUGGGAAUGCAGCUCUAAGUGGGUGGUAAAUUCCAUCUAAAGCUAAAUAUUGGCGAGAGACCGAUAGCGAACAAGUACAGUGAUGGAAAGAUGAAAAGAACUUUGAAAAGAGAGUGAAAAAGUACGUGAAAUUGUUGAAAGGGAAGGGCUUGAGAUCAGACUUGGUAUUUUGUGUUCCUUAUUCUUUUUGGAUUUGGUUCCUCACAGCUUACCGGGCCAGCAUCGGUUUGGAUGGUAGGAUAAUGACAUUGGAAUGUAGCUUUGCUUCGGUGAAGUGUUAUAGACUUUGUUGAUACUGCCUAUCUAGACCGAGGACUGCGUCUUUGACUAGGAUGCUGGCGUAAUGAUCUUAAGCCGCCCGUCUUGAA
rnacentral:rRNA from 1 species